rnacentral:lncRNA from 1 species
CCAAAUUCAUUAUCAUAUCAGGAAAUGAGCUUGGCAAAGUGGUUGUUGAGAGCAAAUGCCAGCCCCAGCAUCAAAGGUGGAGUGGGUGUCACUGUUACAGUCACAGAAGACAACCUGGUGCUUGGUGUAGCCCAGGAUGCCCUUGAGGAGGCCCUCUGAUGCCUGUUUACCACCUUCUUGAUGUCAUUGUAUUU